UCAUCAUAUUUAUAUUACAAGCAAGAAUAGAAUAAUAUAAAUACCAUGCUAUUUAUUUGAUGUGCUUUGUUGAUUUAACAGUGGCCAUUCAUAAUAAAUAAUAGAUGGUCAGAUCACCUCUUUUUUUUUUUUCCACACCGACUCCAUACUCUUGGCUGAUUACUUUCCCAUGCCAAUUUUUUUUAUUCUUUGUUAAUCUCUUUAUAUCCAAUUUAAAAACAUGAUACAUGAAGAUUUUUUUUUUUACUAGAACCAUGCUCUACCAACUUGAGUGUCUUACCAUAUAAGUCAAAUGAACAGUCCCACUUGCUUGAGGAUCUGUCCAAAUCGGCUCCCCCAUCCCUAAUUAUUACGUGAGUUUUCUUGCAAGUAACAUACAUUUUUUUUUUAUCCAACACAAGGUAGGAUCUCAAGAAUCAAUAUCUUCAAACCACCACCAAUAACACUCUAUUUCUCCCUCUUCUUUCUCAACAAUCCGGCCACCAGAUUGUUCUUCGGCGACGCCAUUCCGACCAACCACGCUCCCCAAACACGCGAUACCUACCUCCUCCUUGCACCACUAUCACACGAACACCCCUGUAACCCGGAGAGAGAGAAAGAGAGAGAGAAGGCGGCGACGGUUCGGGUAAGAUGACGACGGUGGUAGAAGUUCAACAUUAGCAGCCGCGGUUCGUGACCUUUCUCUCCGGUAAGUGCCUUAAACUCGUCUUCAUCUCCUCCAUCUUCUAGAUCUGUUUAGAUCCGAUUGAUUUCCGGUCAAACACGUUGUCCCAGGUGAGGACGGCGACGUGGCAGCGGAGGUGUUUCGGGUUUAGGUUUGUUCUGGGAUCGGGUUGGGUGGUGACGACUAGAAAAACCAAGCCGAUGCGCGGCGGCACCGGCAGCGACAGUGGUAGUGGUUAUGUUGUUUCGGGUCUUGGGUUGGGUUUACAUGGAACAAAGGCGAUUCCGGUUCACUACUUCAGAACCGUGGCUCGGGUUUUGGUUCAAGUCAGAUUUGGGGCUCAGGUCAACAGGUUAAGAAGUCAUCAUGGAUCAGACUUGGUUUAGUUCGGGUUCACGUCAGAUUUGGUUCGGGUUUCAUGAAAUGGGUCGACUCGGUUCAACUCGGCUCGACCCGGUUGACUCGGUCAACCGGCCGAAGUCAGUCAACAAGUCAAGCUCGGUCAAACCAGUCAAACUGGUCAACUCAGGUCAACCACAGUCAACACCGGGUCAAAGUCAGUCAACGCUGUUCGACGAAACGGCACGAAGAUUCGGAAUGUUGUAGUUGCCGCUAGCUACUUCACGUUCUUGGAAUGACACUACGGAAUCACACUAAGCUAGCUUUGCACAGGAAUAUCCAGGUUGCAUUUUCAAAAAUAUGGAACGGUUGGAAUAGGAGAACCCAUGGGAAUUC